rfam:Helianthus annuus linkage group 17, whole genome shotgun sequence.
GUGUCCCUCAGAGUUCCUCUGAACACUUCAUUGGGAUGUAUUGUUUUAAAUUUCCUACUGAAGUGUUUGGAGGAACUCCAAGAGCCGC